GACGAACGCUGGCGGCGUGCUUAACACAUGCAAGUCGAGCGGUAAGGCCCUUUCGGGGUACGACGAGCGGCGAACGGUGAGUAACACGUGGGUGACCUGCCCUCAGCUCUGGGAUAAGCCUGGGAAACCGGGUCUAAUACUGGAUAUGACUCCAUGACGCAUGUUGUGGGGUGGAAAGCCUUGUGCGGCUGAGGAUGGGCCCGCGGCCUAUCAGCUUGUUGGUGGGGUGAUGGCCUACCAAGGCGACGACGGGUAGCCGGCCUGAGAGGGCGACCGGCCACACUGGGACUGAGACACGGCCCAGACUCCUACGGGAGGCAGCAGUGGGGAAUCUUGCGCAAUGGGCGAAAGCCUGACGCAGCGACGCCGCGUGAGGGAUGAAGGCCUUCGGU
rnacentral:rRNA from 1 species